rnacentral:tRNA from 1 species
UUGAUGUGGCGCAAGCGGUUACGCUUUUGGCCGCCACCCAACCAUCCCGGGUUCGAUUCCCUGACCUCUAA